rnacentral:rRNA from 1 species
CCUACGGGAGGCAGCAGUGGGGAAUUUUGGACAAUGGACGCAAGUCUGAUCCAGCCAUGCCGCGUGCGGGAAGAAGGCCUUCGGGUUGUAAACCGCUUUUGUCAGGGAAGAAACGGGUCUGUCUAAUACACGGACCUAAUGACGGUACCUGAAGAAUAAGCACCGGCUAACUACGUGCCAGCAGCCGCGGUAAUACGUAGGGUGCAAGCGUUAAUCGGAAUUACUGGGCGUAAAGCGUGCGCAGGCGGUUAUGCAAGACAGAUGUGAAAUCCCCGGGCUCAACCUGGGAACUGCAUUUGUGACUGCAUGGCUAGAGUACGGUAGAGGGGGAUGGAAUUCCGCGUGUAGCAGUGAAAUGCGUAGAUAUGCGGAGGAACACCGAUGGCGAAGGCAAUCCCCUGGACCUGUACUGACGCUCAUGCACGAAAGCGUGGGGAGCAAACAGGAUUAGAUACCCUGGUAGUCCACGCCCUAAACGAUGUCAACUGGUUGUUGGGAGGGUUUCUUCUCAGUAACGUAGCUAACGCGUGAAGUUGACCGCCUGGGGAGGACGGCGCGAGUAGUUAAGUUACGUAAUUAGAGUGAGGCGNGNGAGNGCGACGGACGACGACGAGGGAGGAGG